rnacentral:rRNA from 1 species
CCUACGGGGGGCAGCAGUGGGGAAUAUUGCACAAUGGGGGAAACCCUGAUGCAGCGACGCCGCGUGAGUGAAGAAGUAUCUCGGUACGGAAAGCCCUAUCAGCAGGGAAGAAAAUGACGGUACCUGACUAAGAAGCCCCGGCUAACUACGUGCCAGCAGCCGCGGAAAUACGUAGGGGGCAAGCGUUAUCCGGAUUUACUGGGUGGAAAGGGGGCGUAGACGGGAGCACAAGUCUGGAGUGAAAUCCCGGGGCUUAACCCCGGAACUGCUUUGGAAACUGUGAGGCUUGAGUGCAGGAGGGGUAAGCGGAAUUCCUAGUGUAGCGGUGAAAUGCGUAGAUAGUAGGAGGAACACCGGUGGCGAAGGCGGCUUACUGGACUGUAACUGACGUUGAGGCUCGAAAGCGUGGGGAGCAAACAGGAUUAGAUACCCCGGUAGUC